rnacentral:rRNA from 1 species
GACGAACGCUGGCGGCGUGCUUAACACAUGCAAGUCGAACGGAAAGGCCCUGCUUUUGUGGGGUGCUCGAGUGGCGAACGGGUGAGUAACACGUGAGUAACCUGCCCUUGACUUUGGGAUAACUUCAGGAAACUGGGGCUAAUACCGGAUAGGAGCUCCUGCUGCAUGGUGGGGGUUGGAAAGUUUCGGCGGUUGGGGAUGGACUCGCGGCUUAUCAGCUUGUUGGUGGGGUAGUGGCUUACCAAGGCUUUGACGGGUAGCCGGCCUGAGAGGGUGACCGGCCACAUUGGGACUGAGAUACGGCCCAGACUCCUACGGGAGGCAGCAGUGGGGAAUAUUGCACAAUGGGCGGAAGCCUGAUGCAGCAACGCCGCGUGCGGGAUGGCGGCCUUCGGGUUGUAAACCGCUUUCGCCUGUGACGAAGCGUGAGUGACGGUAAUGGGUAAAGAAGCACCGGCUAACUACGUGCCAGCAGCCGCGGUGAUACGUAGGCUGCGAGCGUUGUCCGGAUUUAUUGGGCGUAAAGGGCUCGUAGGUGGUUGAUCGCGUCGGAAGUGUAAUCUUGGGGCUUAACCCUGAGCGUGCUUUCGAUACGGGUUGACUUGAGGAAGGUAGGGGAGAAUGGAAUUCCUGGUGGAGCGGUGGAAUGCGCAGAUAUCAGGAGGAACACCAGUGGCGAAGGCGGUUCUCUGGGCCUUUCCUGACGCUGAGGAGCGAAAGCGUGGGGAGCGAACAGGCUUAGAUACCCUGGUAGUCCACGCUGUAAACGGUGGGUACUAGGUGUGGGGUCCAUUCCACGGGUUCCGUGCCGUAGCUAACGCUUUAAGUACCCCGCCUGGGGAGUACGGCCGCAAGGCUAAAACUCAAAGGAAUUGACGGGGCCCCGCACAAGCGGCGGAGCAUGCGGAUUAAUUCGAUGCAACGCGUAGAACCUUACCUGGGUUUGACAUGGAUCGGGAGUGCUCAGAGAUGGGUGUGCCUCUUUUGGGGUCGGUUCACAGGUGGUGCAUGGCUGUCGUCAGCUCGUGUCGUGAGAUGUUGGGUUAAGUCCCGCAACGAGCGCAACCCUUGUUCACUGUUGCCAGCACGUUAUGGUGGGGACUCAGUGGAGACCGCCGGGGUCAACUCGGAGGAAGGUGGGGAUGACGUCAAGUCGUCAUGCCCCUUAUGUCCAGGGCUUCACGCAUGCUACAAUGGCUGGUACAGAGAGUGGCGAGCCUGUGAGGGUGAGCGAAUCUCGGAAAGCCGGUCUCAGUUCGGAUUGGGGUCUGCAACUCGACCUCAUGAAGUCGGAGUCGCUAGUAAUCGCAGAUCAGCAACGCUGCGGUGAAUACGUUCCCGGGGCU